GGUCGUCUUGGAGACCUGGCCUCUCACAGGGCUUCAGGAAGGAAGGCUUCUGAUAAACACUCCAAGCCACGCUCCUUGCCUCGCUUGGGAACUUUCAUCUGCUCUUGAAGUUCUCAAACACUUUUGCCCUACUCUGCCUUCAGAGUAAGAUCCUCAUCAGCCAACAAACAAUUAUUGAGUGCCUCUGGUAUGCACGGGGCUGGCUCUACAGAGAUGCACUGAUUGCAGCCCCUGCCCGAUCGUGAACUCCACUUCCAGCACUUUGAUCCAGAACAUAGAUUCUGCCUGGGAGACAUCACACCUGUCGGUAGUUGAUCACGAGCGUGGAGCCCACGGCUCAGGACUGGGUUAGAAGAGCUGUGAGCCGAACAGAAGCUCUGGGAUGGGGAUGCCCGGCAAGAAGAGAGGGCCUCAGGGUCCCCAGGAAAGUUCAAGGGACCCAUGCUCAAAACCAGGAUAGGGUUGUGUCCAAAGAGCCAGAAGCAGGAAGAGACAAAGCAAGAAAGUCACCAAGAUGACACAAAAAUGCCCCUAGACUUGGAACAGGAAGACGCCCCUUGACAGUUGCCUGGAGACAGACGGGGAGACGUGCCAGGGGAGAUGGCGAGACACAGGCAUCUUCUCAAGGAGUUGGGGCAGGUAGGGGAUAACCAGAGGGGCUCCAGGUGCCUGGGGAGGAGGGCUCUGGGCUUUUACUUUUGAUAGUUAGUUUUUUUAACCUUGGGAGAAAGAGAUCUGACAGUGCGUCCAGGUGGAGGGGACGCAGCCAGCAGGGAGGGACAGGUUGACUUUAAGCACACAUGGGAGAGAUUGGCUUCCCGCUUCCCUUGUCUCAGACAAGCAUGAGCCCUAGACGACUCCCUGCCCUGCCCAUCCUCAAAACUGUCGCCCACGCAGCUGCAUGGGGUAAAAGGGGCCACUGUAUGUCAGGAUCCUGCCAGUGCCAGCCAAAAACUUCCAUUCCCCAAUUUCAGCUUCUCAGCUAUUGGAACCACAAAGGGAGGACAUGUACAGGCUACGUGCCUUUAAGUAACUUUCUUUGAAAGGAAAACCAGCCUUACAAUCUUACGUCACCAGACAGAUGCAUCUGAUAAAAUGCAAAUCAGCCCGUUCAAAGCAGUCGGUCAGGAGUGUGCGGCUGACUUGCAAAUGGCCGGUGCCUUCUUCCUCCGUCUUCUGAUGGAGGCUGUUUCUAGUUCCAUUUUUGAACACUGGGUCAUGUGCUUCUGGUCCAGGCUUCUUCCAAACAUAAAGUUAAUGCUUGAACAAUAAAUCAUUUAUAAUUGGACUGGCUAAUUAUAAUAGAGAAUUCGUUUGCAUGUGAAGACAUUCAGGCAUAGAGAAAAUGAAAGCCUCUAUGUUUCCAUCUCGCAAAUUGCAGGAAACGUAUUCAGGUGACUUCGUUAAGGCCCAGGCCGUGUUUAUUUUAGGUAUUUUAGCACUCAACAGAAAGCCACAGUUUUCUAAUUUGUGAAUAUCGUAAACCUGGUGGCCAUGAAGCCCAUGACAGGCUUGGUUGCGCCCCAGCAAUGGAAGGGAAGUGGUAACUUGAUUGCCUCGAUGCAGAUAUAUCUUGAAUAUCUUUAUACAUGUUUCCAAUAGCCCCCAUGCCCUGCAUCUAGAUUCUUUGAUUGUCAGUCCCACAGGCACUUAAGAAAUGUCUUUGAAUUGAGUGACACAAACAAGCAGAGAGCAAAGUCCACUACCCUCCCUGAUCUAAUGAAUAGUCAGGGAACAGAUUCUUGCUGGUCAUUCCAGACAUGAUAGCACGCAGGGGUCAGCCUGUGACAGAGGACCAGGCAUCCGUCUGGGCAUGACAUUGAAGUUCCUUGAUUAGUCAUGACGCUUGCCUGGUUCAGAGAUUGUUCAGAACCUCUGCUUUCCUUUGUGUGCCCUUCCCCGUACAGGACAGAGGAAGAGCUGAAAUCAAAUUGGUCAUUUGGUUUCCUCGGCUAGUCUGCAGGUUGAGAGAUUUGCUGGUAGGAGAGCCUGCGGCGCUGGGCCAGAAGGAGCUGCUGCCGUCUGUCUGUCUCCUCCACCCCACUGCCCGCCCCUCCUGCAUCUCUGCUCCCCCAAGGGCUGCUGUCUGCCUGUCUGACACCCGCAUGCUGGCAGCGAUAUGCCCCGAUGUGUUCAAACGCUCAGCGAUUUUAAUUAACCGAUCGCUGUUCCAGGAACCAACAUCAAAUACUCUUGUGAUCUUUCAUGAUGAAGCAGGAACCACUGGGUAGAGGAGACAGGAAAUGGCCCUGCCCCCAGCUCCUGCUGGUUACACUGAGCUGGGGCCAGAAACACCCCAUAAACCCUCAGGCUGUCAUUUAUUAGAAAUAAUGUCAUUGGGGAGUUGCCAUGGUGCGGUGGCCUCCAGCUGAGCCCAGGCUCCCAGGGAGGAAGGGGGGAAAUUGCCUGCCGGCUCCGGCUGAUUGACCGUUAACCUUGGUCCCCACAGUACAGAUAAAGCCCAACAAAAGGGAAGUUGAUGACGAUUUUAUUAAAAAGGCGAUUCCGAUGAGGUUUCUUUUUAACUCGAUGGAAUGAAUGUUGCUAAAGGGUUGGGGGCAGAGAAAUGAAAUCAGAAGCUGAAUAAAUGACUUAAUUGCUUUGCCAUAGCCACGCAUUUUUUAAAAAUGAGAGGCAUGGCAGGGAAGAUUGCAUCACCGAGAUUUUAAAUCCUUGGUUACUGCGAGCAAACACAGCCACAACCCUGGACGGAAAGCUCGUCCAAGUUGAAAUGAAGGUGAUACUGGUUUUAUUACAGACAGGUCGCGGGAGGGCUCGCGAGGCAGACAGCUUAUGAAUUCCUUUGGCCUGAUGUCGUUUUGAAGAGACGUGUGGCCAGGCAUUGUGAGCCACAGGACACAGAUUCAGAUCAAACCAAGCCUGUGGCUCUGCUUCUCAGCUGCUCUGGAGGGCCUGUUGCCUGACGACCCACGCUCUGGUGUGUGCAGAGGAGCAGCAUCUUCCCAAUUAGAUUAAGUGAACGCUCUUCCUCCCGUACCAUGACCUUCACCCUGGACGUACAGAAAGUGCAGAACUUGAAGUGAUUUGUGGGGCCAAGUGGACUCUGGCCCCUCUGGAGAGUGAAACCCUGCCUGCCACCCCCGAGGUGCCCAAACUUAGAUAAAUGCUCUCACAUGGUAUUUGUCUUUCUCUGUCGAACUCACUUCACUCAGUAUGACCAUCUCUGGACCUAAAAUCCUUCCUCAUUUGAUUCCACCUUGGUGUCUGCAUCUCAGGGCACAGAUUAACACCCCCAGGCCCAGAAGAGGGUACACGACUUACGACACCACAGAAGACUUGUGACACCACAUGAAGAAGCGGAUACAAGACUCCAGAUGUCUUCUCUGAAGCCAGACUUUAAAGCGAUUUUCAAAAAUCAUAAGAUAAUGCCACUUCUUGCAGAAAUUUUUUGUUUUUCAGAAAAUAGUUAUUCUCAUAAAAAUACACCAACUUUGUAAUUGUUUUAUUAUUAUUAUUCU